GACGAACGCUGGCGGCGUGCUUAACACAUGCAAGUCGAACGGAAAGGCCCUGGUUUUGUGGGGUGCUCGAGUGGCGAACGGGUGAGUAACACGUGAGUAACCUGCCCUUGACUUUGGGAUAACUUCAGGAAACUGGGGCUAAUACCGGAUAGGAGCGCCUGCUGCAUGGUGGGGGGUGGAAAGUUUCGGCGGUGGGGGAUGGACUCGCGGCUUAUCAGCUUGUUGGUGGGGUAGUGGCUUACCAAGGCUUUGACGGGUAGCCGGCCUGAGAGGGUGACCGGCCACAUUGGGACUGAGAUACGGCCCAGACUCCUACGGGAGGCAGCAGUGGGGAAUAUUGCACAAUGGGCGGAAGCCUGAUGCAGCAACGCCGCGUGCGGGAUGACGGCCUUCGGGUUGUAAACUGCUUUCGCCUGUGACGAAGCGUGAUUGACGGUAAUGGGUAAAGAAGCACCGGCUAACUACGUG
rnacentral:rRNA from 1 species